AUUGAACGCUGGCGGCAGGCCUAACACAUGCAAGUCGAGCGAGCGGCGGACGGGUGAGUAAUGUAUGGGGACUGCCCGAUAGAGGGGGAUAACUACGCGAAACGGUGGCUACUACCGCAUACUAUCGGAUAACCCAUAUGGGAUUAGCUAGUAGGUGGGGGAAAGGCUCACCUAGGCGACGAUCUCUAGCUGGUCUGAGAGGAUGAUCAGCCACACUGGGACUGAGACACGGCCCAGACUCCUACGGAGGCAGCAGUGGGGAAUAUUGCACAAUGGGCGCAAGCCUGAUGCAGCCAUGCCGCGUGUAUGAAGAAGGCCUUCGGGUUGUAAAGUACUUUCGGUCGGGAGGCGUUACCGACAGAAGAAGCACCGGCUAACUCCGUGCCAGCAGCCGCGGUAAUAC
rnacentral:rRNA from 1 species